GACGAACGCUGGCGGCGUGCUUAACACAUGCAAGUCGAGCGGUAAGGCCCUUUCGGGGGUACGACGAGCGGCGAACGGGUGAGUAACACGUGGGUGACCUGCCCUCAGCUCUGGGAUAAGCCUGGGAAACCGGGUCUAAUACUGGAUAUGACUCCAUGACGCAUGUUGUGGGGUGGAAAGCCUUGUGCGGCUGAGGAUGGGCCCGCGGCCUAUCAGCUUGUUGGUGGGGUGANGGCCUACCAAGGCGACGACGGGUAGCCGGCCUGAGAGGGCGACCGGCCACACUGGGACUGAGACACGGCCCAGACUCCUACGGGAGGCAGCAGUGGGGAAUCUUGCGCAAUGGGCGAAAGCCUGACGCAGCGACGCCGCGUGAGGGACGACGGCCUGGUGUAAC
rnacentral:rRNA from 1 species